rnacentral:rRNA from 1 species
AUUGAACGCUGGCGGCGGGCCUAAUACAUGCAAGUCGAGCGGAUGAAGGGAGCUUGCUCCUGGAUUCAGCGGCGGACGGGUGAGUAAUGCCUAGGAAUCUGCCUGGUAGUGGGGGAUAACGUCCGGAAACGGGCGCUAAUACCGCAUACGUCCUGAGGGAGAAAGUGGGGGAUCUUCGGACCUCACGCUAUCAGAUGAGCCUAGGUCGGAUUAGCUAGUUGGUGGGGUAAAGGCCUACCAAGGCGACGAUCCGUAACUGGUCUGAGAGGAUGAUCAGUCACACUGGAACUGAGACACGGUCCAGACUCCUACGGGAGGCAGCAGUGGGGAAUAUUGGACAAUGGGCGAAAGCCUGAUCCAGCCAUGCCGCGUGUGUGAAGAAGGUCUUCGGAUUGUAAAGCACUUUAAGUUGGGAGGAAGGGCAGUAAGUUAAUACCUUGCUGUUUUGACAUUACCAACAGAAUAAGCACCGGCUAACUUCGUG